AGUUUGAUCAUGGCUCAGAACGAACGCUGGCGGCAGGCCUAACACAUGCAAGUCGAGCGACCUCUUCGGAGGGAGCGGCGCACGGGUGAGUAACGCGUGGGUAUCUACCCCUAGGUAUGGAAUAACUUCUGGAAACGGACAUUAAUACCGUAUAAUCCCUUCUAGCUGGCGCUGGUUGGGCAAAGAUUCAUCGCCAAAGGAUGAGCCCGCGUUAGAUUAGCUAGUUGGUGAGGUAAGAGCUCACCAAGGCGACGAUCUAUAGCUGGUCUGAGAGGAUGAUCAGCCACACUGGGACUGAGACACGGCCCAGACUCCUACGGGAGGCAGCAGUGAGGAAUAUUGCGCAAUGGGGGAAACCCUGACGCAGCCAUGCCGCGUGAGUGAAGAAGGCCUUCGGGUUGUUAAACUCUUUCAGUAGUGAAGAUGAUGACGGUAACUACAGAAGAAGCUCCGGCUAACUUCGUGCCAGCAGCCGCGGUAAUACGAAGGGGGCGAGCGUUGUUCGGAAUCACUGGGCGUAAAGCGUACGUAGGCGGUUAUGAAAGUCAGAAGUGAAAGCCCAGGGCUCAACCCUGGAAUUGCUUUUGAAACUCCAUAACUAGAGACCCGGAGAGGUUGACGGAAUUCCAAGUGUAGAGGUGAAAUUCGCAGAUAUUUGGAGGAACACCAGUGGCGUAGGCGGUCAACUGGACGGGUACUGACGCUGAGGUACGAAAGCGUGGGGAGCAAACAGGAUUAGAUACCCUGGUAGUCCACGCCGUAAACGAUGUAUGCUAGCUGUUGGAGUCUUAAGGCUUCAGUAGCGCAGCUAACGCAAUAAGCAUACCGCCUGGGGAGUACGGUCGCAAGAUUAAAACUCAAAGGAAUUGACGGG
rnacentral:rRNA from 1 species